UGGCGAACGGGUGAGUAAUACAUAAGCAACCUGCCCACGAAGACUGGGAUAAUCUCUGGAAACGGGGACUAAUACCGGAUAGGUAAUCGGAAGGCAUCUUCUGAUUAUUAAAGGUUAAAAAACACUGGUGGAUGGGCUUAUGGCGCAUUAGUUAGUUGGUGAGGUAACGGCCCACCAAGACGAUGAUGCGUAGCCGGCCUGAGAGGGUGAACGGCCACAUUGGGACUGAGACACGGCCCAG
rnacentral:rRNA from 1 species